AUGAACGCUAGCUACAGGCUUAACACAUGCAAGUCGAGGGGCAGCAUGGUCUUAGCUUGCUAAGGCCGAUGGCGACCGGCGCACGGGUGAGUAACACGUAUCCAACCUGCCGUCUACUCUUGGACAGCCUUCUGAAAGGAAGAUUAAUACAAGAUGGCAUCAUGAGUCCGCAUGUUCACAUGAUUAAAGAUAUUCCGGUAGACGAUGGGGAUGCGUUCCAUUAGAUAGUAGGCGGGGUAACGGCCCACCUAGUCUUCGAUGGAUAGGGGUUCUGAGAGGAAGGUCCCCCACAUUGGAACUGAGACACGGUCCAAACUCCUACGGGAGGCAGCAGUGAGGAAUAUUGGUCAAUGGGCGAGAGCCUGUACCAGCCAAGUAGCGUGAAGGAUGACUGCCCUAUGGGUUGUAAACUUCUUUUAUAAAGGAAUAAAGUCGGGUAUGGAUACCCGUUUGCAUGUACUUUAUGAAUAAGGAUCGGCUAACUCCGUGCCAGCAGCCGCGGUAAUACGGAGGAUCCGAGCGUUAUCCGGAUUUAUUGGGUUUAAAGGGAGCGUAGAUGGAUGUUUAAGUCAGUUGUGAAAGUUUGCGGCUCAACCGUAAAAUUGCAGUUGAUACUGGAUAUCUUGAGUGCAGUUGAGGCAGGCGGAAUUCGUGGUGUAGCGGUGAAAUGCUUAGAUAUCACGAAGAACUCCGAUUGCGAAGGCAGCCUGCUAAGCUGCAACUGACAUUGAGGCUCGAAAGUGUGGGUAUCAAACAGGAUUAGAUACCCUGGUAGUCCACACGGUAAACGAUGAAUACUCGCUGUUUGCGAUAUACUGCAAGCGGCCAAGCGAAAGCGUUAAGUAUUCCACCUGGGGAGUACGCCGGCAACGGUGAAACUCAAAGGAAUUGACGGGGGCCCGCACAAGCGGAGGAACAUGUGGUUUAAUUCGAUGAUACGCGAGGAACCUUACCCGGGCUUAAAUUGCAGAUGAAUUACGGUGAAAGCCGUAAGCCGCAAGGCAUCUGUGAAGGUGCUGCAUGGUUGUCGUCAGCUCGUGCCGUGAGGUGUCGGCUUAAGUGCCAUAACGAGCGCAACCCUUGUUGUCAGUUACUAACAGGUUCCGCUGAGGACUCUGACAAGACUGCCAUCGUAAGAUGUGAGGAAGGUGGGGAUGACGUCAAAUCAGCACGGCCCUUACGUCCGGGGCUACACACGUGUUACAAUGGGGGGUACAGAGGGCCGCUACCACGCGAGUGGAUGCCAAUCCCCAAAACCUCUCUCAGUUCGGACUGGAGUCUGCAACCCGACUCCACGAAGCUGGAUUCGCUAGUAAUCGCGCAUCAGCCACGGCGCGGUGAAUACGUUCCCGGGCCUUGUACACACCGCCCGUCAAGCCAUGGGAGCCGGGGGUACCUGAAGUGCGUAACCGCGAGGAGCGCCCUAGGGUAAAACUGGUGACUGGGGCU
rnacentral:rRNA from 1 species